CAAUAGCGUAUAUUAACGUUGUUGCAGUUAAAAAGCUCGUAGUUGGAUUUCUGGAGGGAGCGUCGGCCCGUAUUUACGAGUGCGUGACGUCUCUGUCCAUCCUUGCGGGAAGGCACGGCAUUGAUUUGUUGUGUCGGAUCGCAUCAUUUACUGUGAAAAAAUUAGAGUGUUCAAAGCAGGCUUUCGCUUGAAUACAUUAGCAUGGAAUAAUAAGAUAGGACUUUGGUGCUAUUUUGUUGGUUGAGCCUAAAGUAAUGAUUAAUAGGGAUAGUUGGGGGCACCUGUAUUGCGUUGUCAGAGGUGAAAUUCUUGGAUUUACGCAAGACAAACUGCUGCGAAAGCGUCUGCCAAGGAUGUUUUCAUUAA
rnacentral:rRNA from 1 species